UCUCCCGUAAGGCCGUAACCAAUGCUCCAUUUGCAAAUCUUACUCGCUUACCACACCCUGUGCUAGUUUAUAUAUAUCCAUUCUACAAACUAUGAAUUACUCAACUUUGACAAAAAUAAAAAUAAACAAGAUUCCACUUUCCAUCUUCGAACCACAGCAACUCCCACCUACUACCCUCAAAUAAAGCAAUGCAUUCAUGUACUUCCUCAACAUUGAAGAAAAAUAGAAAAGACAGAUUCCAAUUUACAGGAAUUUAUAUGAAGCAUCUCCAGUGGCAUCAAAGCCAGGCAUAUCCCAUAAACGGUACCCCGAUCAGCCUGUUCCACCAUCCAUAAAUGCUAUUUCUGGUAACAAGACACCUGAUACUGGUUCUCAAAAACCAAGGAUGAGGUGGACACCUGAGCUCCAUGAACGUUUUGUUGAA